rnacentral:rRNA from 1 species
UACGAAGGGUGCAAACGUUGCUCGGAAUUAUUGGGCGUAAGCGCACGUAGGCGGCUUUGCAAGUCCCAUGUGAAAUCCCACGGCUUAACCGUGGAAGUGCAUGGGAAACUGCAGAGCUUGAGUACUUAAGAGGAUCGCGGAAUUCCCGGUGUAGAGGUGAAAUUCGUAGAUAUCGGGAGGAACACCAGUGGCGAAGGCGGCGAUCUGGGAAGAUACUGACGCUGAGGUGCGAAAGCGUGGGGAGCAAAGCAGG